GUGGGGAAUUUUGCGCAAUGGGGGAAACCCUGACGCAGCAACGCCGCGUGAGUGAUGAAGGCCUUCGGGUCGUAAAGCUCUGUCAGAGGGGAAGAAGUGUGGGGUGGCUAAUAUCCAUUUCACUUGACGGUACCUUCAAAGGAAGCACCGGCUAACUCCGUGCCAGCAGCCGCGGUAAUACGGAGGGUGCGAGCGUUGUUCGGAAUUAUUGGGCGUAAAGCGCGUGUAGGCGGUUUUUUAAGUCUGAUGUGAAAGCCCUGGGCUCAACCCGGGAAGUGCAUUGGAAACUGGGAGACUUGAAUACGGGAGAGGGCAGUGGAAUUUCUGGUGUAGGAGUGAAAUCCGUAGAUAUCAGGAGGAACACCGGUGGCGAAGGCGGCUGCCUGGACCGAUAUUGACGCUGAGACGCGAAAGCGUGGGGAGCAAACAGGAUUAGAAACCCGAGUAGUCC
rnacentral:rRNA from 1 species